rnacentral:rRNA from 1 species
GACGAACGCUGGCGGCGUGCUUAACACAUGCAAGUCGAACGGUGAACGAGGGAGCUUGCUCCCUCCGGAUCAGUGGCGAACGGGUGAGUAACACGUGAGCAAUCUGCCCCGAACUCUGGGAUAAGCGUUGGAAACGACGUCUAAUACCGGAUACGACGCGGGAGGGCAUCCUCUCCGCGUGGAAAGAACUUCGGUUGGGGAUGAGCUCGCGGCCUAUCAGCUUGUUGGUGAGGUUAGGGCUCACCAAGGCGACGACGGGUAGCCGGCCUGAGAGGGUGACCGGCCACACUGGGACUGAGACACGGCCCAGACUCCUACGGGAGGCAGCAGUGGGGAAUAUUGCACAAUGGGCGCAAGCCUGAUGCAGCAACGCCGCGUGAGGGACGACGGCCUUCGGGUUGUAAACCUCUUUUAGUAGGGAAGAAGCGAAAGUGACGGUACCUGCAGAAAAAGCACCGGCUAACUACGUG